GAUGAAGAACGUAGCGAAAUGCGAUAAGUAAUGUGAAUUGCAGAAUUCAGUGAAUCAUCGAAUCUUUGAACGCACAUUGCGCCCGCUAGUAUUCUGGCGGGCAUGCCUGUCCGAGCGUCAUUUCAACCCUCAAGCCCCCGGGCUUGGUGUUGGGGAUCGGCGAGCCUCCGCGCCCGCCGUCCCCUAAAUCUAGUGGCGGUCUCGCUGUAGCUUCCUCUGCGUAGUAGCACACCUCGCACUGGGAAACAGCGCGGCCACGCCGUUAAACCCCCAACUUCUGAACGUUUGACCUCGGAUCAGGUAGGAAUACCUGCUGAACUUAAGCAUAUCAAUAAGCGGAGGA
rnacentral:misc_RNA from 1 species